UACGGGAGGCAGCAGUGGGGAAUAUUGCACAAUGGGCGCAAGCCUGAUGCAGCCAUGCCGCGUGUAUGAAGAAGGCCUUCGGGUUGUAAAGUACUUUCAGUCGUGAGGAAGGUGUUAAGGUUAAUAACCUUAGCAAUUGACGUUAGCGACAGAAGAAGCACCGGCUAACUCCGUGCCAGCAGCCGCGGUAAUACGGAGGGUGCGAGCGUUAAUCGGAAUUACUGGGCGUAAAGGGCACGCAGGCGGUUAAUUAAGUUGGAUGUGAAAUCCCCGGGCUUAACCUGGGAAUGGCAUUCAAGACUGGUUAGCUAGAGUCUUGUAGAGGGGGUAGAAUUCCAUGUGUAGCGGUGAAAUGCGUAGAGAUGUGGAGGAAAUACCGGUGGGCGAAGGCGGGCCCCUGGGACAAAGGACUGACGCUCAUGUGCGAAAGCGUGGGGAGCAAACAGGGAUUAGAUACC
rnacentral:rRNA from 1 species